rnacentral:lncRNA from 1 species
AUCAUUACAACAAAGAAAAGAGUGGCUGUAGCUCCUACCUCAAGGCAUAGUGCGGUCUGGAAUUUGUCGGUUGGAGUCAGAGCUGCAUCACACCAGAAUAGUACACCCUGCUACUUGGGAAACAGCAAAAUGCCAGUCCUUUCAUGUGAUACUAUGGUCAGUACACUUUCUGUCUUGAAAUUCCACUUCAUGUUGCCAGCAAUGCAUUCAGACAUUGUUGUGUCAUGUUGUGCUGUGCAGAACAUUUCAGGCUUUUAAGGGGAAAAGGGUGAUGGUUUCCUGGUAAUUUGCAUCUGUAGCUUGCUG